UGGGGAAUCUUGCACAAUGGAGGAAACUCUGAUGCAGCGAUGCCGCGUGAGUGAAGAAGGCCUUUGGGUUGUAAAGCUCUUUCGUCGGGGAAGAAAAUGACUGUACCCGAAUAAGAAGGUCCGGCUAACUUCGUGCCAGCAGCCGCGGUAAUACGAAGGGACCUAGCGUAGUUCGGAAUUACUGGGCUUAAAGAGUUCGUAGGUGGUUGAAAAAGUUGGUGGUGAAAUCCCAGAGCUUAACUCUGGAACUGCCAUCAAAACUUUUCAGCUAGAGUAUGAUAGAGGAAAGCAGAAUUUCUAGUGUAGAGGUGAAAUUCGUAGAUAUUAGAAAGAAUACCAAUUGCGAAGGCAGCUUUCUGGAUCAUUACUGACACUGAGGAACGAAAGCAUGGGUAGCGAAGAGGAUUAGAUACCCUCGUAGUCCAUGCCGUAAACGAUGUGUGUUAGACGUUGGAAAUUUAUUUUCAGUGUCGCAGGGAAACCGAUAAACACACCGCCUGGGGAGUACGACCGCAAGGUUAAAACUCAAAUGAAUUGACGGGGACCCGCACAAGUAGUGGAGCAUGUGGUUUAAUUCGAAGAUACGCGCAGAACCUUACCAACACUUGACAUGUUCGUCGCGACUCUAAGAGAUUAGAGUUUUCGGUUCGGCCGGACGAAACACAGGUGCUGCAUGGCUGUCGUCAGCUCGUGUCGUGAGAUGUUGGGUUAAGUCCCGCAA
rnacentral:rRNA from 1 species